rnacentral:rRNA from 1 species
AGUAAACGGCGGCCGUAACUAUAACGGUCCUAAGGUAGCGAAAUUCCUUGUCGGGCAAGUUCCGACCCGCACGAAAGGCGUAACGAUUUGGGCGCUGUCUCAGCUGUAGACUCGGUGAAGUCUUAGUACCUGUGAAGAUGCAGGUUGCCCGCGACUAGACGGAAAGACCCCAUGGAGCUUCACUGCAGGUUGACAUUGGGCUUGGAUGCAUGAUGUACAGGAUAGGUGGGAGGCUGUGAGCCGUGCGCGCCAGCGUACGGGGAGCCGCUGUUGGGAUACCACCCUUCAUGCAUCUAGGUCCUAACCGGAGGCAACGGGCCACGGGACAGUGUCAGUCGGGCAGUUUGACUGGGGCGGUCGCCUCCCAAAGAGUAACGGAGGCGCCCAAAGAUACCCUCAGCAUGGAUGGAAACCAUGCAUAGAGUGCAAAGGCAUAAGGGUGUCUGACUGCGAGACAUACAGGUCGAGCAGGGACGAAAGUCGGGCUUAGUGAUCCGGCGGAUCCGAAUGGAAGGGCCGUCGCUCAACGGAUAAAAGCUACCCUGGGGAUAACAGGCUGAUCUCCCCCAAGAGUUCACAUCGACGGGGAGGUUUGGCACCUCGAUGUCGGCUCAUCGCAUCCUGGAGCUGAAGUCGGUUCCAAGGGUUGGGCUGUUCGCCCAUUAAAGCGGUACGCGAGCUGGGUUCAGAACGUCGUGAGACAGUUCGGUCCCUAUCUGUCGUGGGCGCAGGAGGUUUGAGGAGAGCUGCCCCUAGUACGAGAGGACCGGGGUGGACGGACCGAUGGUGCACCAGUUGUCACGCCAGUGGCACAGCUGGGCAGCCAAGUCCGGACGGGAUAAGCGCUGAAGGCAUCUAAGCGUGAAGCCCCCUCCAAGAUGAGACCUCCCAUUGGCGACAAGUAAGGCCCCUCGAAGACGACGAGGUUGAUAGGCCGCGAGUGCAAGCGCAGCGAUGUGCUUAGCGGGGCGGUACUAAUAGGCCGAGGACUUGGCCAA